rnacentral:rRNA from 1 species
UACAGAGGGGGCAAGCGUUGUUCGGAAUUACUGGGCGUAAAGGGCGCGUAGGCGGCCCACUAAGUCGAACGUGAAAUCCCCCGAGCUCAACUCGGGAACUGCGUCCGAUACUGGUGGGCUUGAAUCCGGGAGAGGGAUGCGGAAUUCCAGGUGUAGCGGUGGAAAUGACGUAGAUAUCUGGAGGAACACCGGUGGCGAAGGCGGCAUCCUGGACCGGCAUUGACGCUGAGGCG